UGACUCUCACAGGAGAACAAAUUAAAGUCCGGGGACAUGUAAACCCACCUUCAGAGCUUCCAGUGAAAUGUUUCUACACUGUAAACAGGUCUGGAGUUCAUCCUCCCUCUGAACACUCUUCUCCUGUUUCAGUGUUUGUGCUGGGUGAGUGAAGAAGCAUCACUACUGUUAAUUCACUCAACAUUCACUCUGUUUGGCAUUUCUGAGUUCAUUCCUGCCUUCUGUCUGCUGACAGAUCAUUUGCAGAAACCCAUGGUAAGCGUGCACCAUGACCGAACUGACAUGCAGUUCGUCAUUGUUUGUGAAAUACCCAAGCAGUCCUGGAAUGUCACCGGAUGCCAGCUUUAUACUGGACAUGGGGAGAACUUUUACUUGACAGCUAAAAUACAGAAAGCAUCUGGAAACUGCCUUUUUUACGUGGACAAAAAUUAUUUAUUCAGACGUCUGCAGUCAGUGGGGAGCAGAGAGGUGAGCUGUGAUUAUACAGUGAACACAGAACCUUCUUCUCUCGCUCCACGCAGUGACCCAUACACCAUUCAAGGUUUAACAUCUCAAUCUACUUCAGUUAACCUCAAACCUGCCACAAGAGGUGAUGCACACACUGCCACAGUGUCUCCAGGUUCAACCCCUCACCUUCAUUCAGAGUACACCAAGGAUGCCUCAGUCUCUCCAGGUUCAAACCCUCACUUUACUUCAGAGGACACCAUGGAUGCUUCAGGUAAGUGAUGCAUUCAUUAUCACACUAUGACACAUUACCAUACGUUAUUUAUUAGCACAGAAUAAACACAUAUAUAAUCAGUUGUUUUGUCGUAUUUGAUAUACCAGAUUCUGCGAUGGCCAGAUUUCUAUUUACUGUAUGUAUGCUUGUAUGUAUAUUAUGUGUAUGUCAACUGCACUGAACAAUACUGUUGAAAAAAACAUUGGUCUGUUUUCAACCAAUUAUUUUCUCACAGCUACAACACUGACCCCCUCUACAGGUAAAGUCUCUGAGCAUGGUUCACCAGAUUCACACUUCUGUUUGUGUGACUGUAGUAUAAUAGUGAAAACGGUAGUUUAACGGUAGUUUAAGGUGAUAAAUUUUUUUAAUUAUUAUUCUCUUGCCAGGCUUUGCUCUGUGUAUUUUCCCCACUCCUCUCCUCUUUUCCCUAUCUCAUGGAAACUUUGAAGAUAUCAAUUAUUUGUGCAUUUCGCUUAUUUAUUUCAGUGUCACGGGGAACAGUGCUGAUCUUGGUGGUGACUAGCCUGUGUAUUGUCCUGGCUGGUUUGUCUGCACUCUGUCUCAUCUGGACAUGUCGUAUGUGAUAAUCAUGACAUUUCAUUCAUAGAAUAGCUCUAGGAAAACACAUUCAUGCUCAAGGUAACACAUUUGUAACUGUUGUACAGGCAGUCAUCUUGAAAUUAAUUUUGAUGCAUUGUGGUCAUAUGAAGGACAGAUAAAGACUCCUGUCAUUCCCACUAGUCGCCCAGGCUAUAGACUGUGUAGUUCGGUGUUCUGGGACAGACAGAAUGACAUAGACAUAAAUCGACAUUGCCCACUAUAUCUCCAAAGGUCACCAGCUGGCACGUUAGCAAGCUUUUAUUUGUGUCAGAUGUGCUGUUGUUAGUAAUUACAAGGUUUGUGCAUUUCUUAAGAGUUAGCUUGCUAGUUUUAGACCAAAACACUUUACUUCUGUAUUAAGAAAGAUACAGCCUAAUUUACUUUAUACAUCUCUGAUGGGCACAUCUUAUUUUCUCUUUCAGGGAAACAUAAACAUCAGAGUUCAAAGGGAACUCUAGGCAGGACCAGACAGAAGAAUCACCCAGACAUUAUGCCUGCAAAUAGUACAAUUACAACUGUUAAUGACACUGUUGAAACCUACUCCAUGAUCACUUCAACACCCCUGACUGUAGCUCCAGAGGUUGACAAAAGGGAAGACAUUUUCUCUGAACAGGAUGAUGGGGACCCCACAUACAGCUUGGUGCAGGACCACAGGAGCCCUGUUGUCACACAGCAGGACAUGACCUACAGCCUUCUGCAGGUGCACUGAUACCGCUGCACAUACCGCAUGUAGCAUUCAUUAUGAUUUAAAAAGCUUGUCUUGUGUUUUGGAAUGCCUGCAUAUAGAGAAAAUAACUACAAUGACUAUGGUCUAUUGAGGGUUUGAUUGACAUCUUAUCCAGUGAAAUUUCUGUUGUAUUUGAGCUAGAAUGCAAAGAUUUCAGGAGGCAAGUUUGCAGUAUAUAGGCAGAUUUACUAACGGUAAAUACAUUGUUAAAUAAGCCACGCCCACAUAUGCAUGUCCCA
ensembl:lncRNA